UUAAAUUGAGAGUUUGAUCCUGGCUCAGGACGAACGCUGGCGGCGUGCCUAACACAUGCAAGUCGAGCGAUGAAACCCUUCGGGGUGGAUUAGCGGCGGACGGGUGAGUAACACGUGGGUAACCUGCCUCAAAGAGGGGAAUAGCCUCCCGAAAGGGAGAUUAAUACCGCAUAAUAUGUUUUGGUCGCAUGAYCKWRACAUCAAAGGAUUUUUCUUUUAGAAGAUUCCACUUUGAGAUGGACCCGCGGCGCAUUAGCUAGUUGGUGAGGUAACGGCCCACCAAGGCAACGAUGCGUAGCCGACCUGAGAGGGUGAUCGGCCACAUUGGAACUGAGACACGGUCCAGACUCCUACGGGAGGCAGCAGUGGGGAAUAUUGCGCAAUGGGGGRAACCCUGACGCAGCAACGCCGCGUGAAUGAUGAAGGCCUUCGGGUUGUAAAGUUC
rnacentral:rRNA from 1 species